rnacentral:tRNA from 1 species
GGGGUUGUAGCUCAGUGGUAGAGUGCUUGUCUUGCACAUGUGAGGCACUGGGUUCGAUCCGCAGCACCACA